rnacentral:rRNA from 1 species
UUGGAUAUUGCAGCAACUAGUAUGGAUGCAGAUCUCAGCCAAUGGAUUAUGAAGCACUACGACCCUGAGAUGUCCCAAAUCGUUAUACCAGAUAGGAGGAAGAUUCCUAUUGAUGCAAUGAGCGUGAAUCGAAUUUGGGGAUUGCCAAAUAGGGGCAGGAAGGUUUGCUUUGAGAAUCAUCCUGACAUCACAAAGGCCAUUUACAGCAUCUACAAUAUCACCACCAAGAACUCACCAACCCUCACAGCAUGGUGUAAGAUGAUUGGAAAUAUGAAUGGAGCUCACGAUGAUGAUUUCCUUCGUGAUUGGUUAGUAGUUGCCUUUUCCCGCUUCCUUGCACCAUCAACAAGUCUAAGCAUCUCGCCAAAAAGAUUCCCUGUUGUCAUGGAUGUCAAUGGUAUAACAGAGACGAAUGUUUGUGAGUUUAUUGUUGAUCAAUUAAAGGCAUCAUUCAAAGAUGCGGGUGUCAAGAAGAAUGUUGUAUGA